UCCGAAUCGGCGCAGGAAGGUAGCUGCGACGGCGGCCCCGCGCGCCUGCGCACCAGCGCCCCCUGACCAGCAGGCCUCUCCCGGGGCGCCGCGUUCCAGCCCCGAGGGCACGUGGCAGGUGGGACGGUUGGGCAGGAUUAGCCGCUCCGGGGUCAGGUGUGAGGUCCGCCCCAGUCUCAGGAGCCGCUGGGCCCGGCUGCAGAGGCUGGCCGCCUUCCAGGAUCCCAGGCGCCUACGUCCUCCGACGCGGUGGGAAGACGCGAGGUUUAAUAUAUGACAGCAAG
rnacentral:lncRNA from 1 species